GGCGAUUAGCUCAGUUGGUAGAGCAUCUCGUUUACACCGAGACACCGCCAGCGAAAUCGCCG
rnacentral:tRNA from 1 species